UUUUCCUAGACCAGGACACUAAGAUGCAGCCCAUCGACAUUUGCCCGAGUCGCCACAUGGGAGCCACCAGAGCUGCUAGUCACCAGAGUUCCAUCUCCAUUAGCUGACCUUCAGUUUUGACCACCAUGCAGUUUCACGCUGUACAAACUUGUGCAAACCUCACUUGCAUGAACUGACCUUCCUGAUCAUGCUACUGCUGCUAUUAUAUACAAACUAUUUAAUGAAACAUUUAUCCACUUA